AAGGAACGCAAGCCAUUUUCUGUUUCUAGCACUCCCACCAUGUCACGCUCAAGUUCAAUAAGUGGUGUUGAUAUGGCAGGACUACAGACAUCUUUUCUGUCUCAGGAUGAGUCUCAUGAUCACUCAUUUGGACCAAUGUCUGUAUCAGCAAAUGGAAGCAAUCUUUAUGAUGCUGUAAGGAUGGGAGCAGGAUCAAGCAUUAUUGAAAACCUACAGUCUCAGCUAAAGCUAAGGGAAGGGGAAAUUACUCAUUUACAGUAAACCUUAUAAAUGGUAUACCUCUCAGGAAAGUUGGGACCAUUUUUCUGCCACUGUUUCCUUUACUUAAGAAAGAGCUAGCUCAAAGUUUAUGUUGACAUGUCUAUUUCAAA
rnacentral:sRNA from 1 species